GCGGGUGUAGCUCAGCUGGUUAGAGCGUCCGCCUGUCACGCGGAAGGUCGUGGGUUCGAACCCCAUCACUCGCG
rfam:Candidatus Kaiserbacteria bacterium RIFCSPHIGHO2_02_FTLL_50_50 rifcsphigho2_02_scaffold_2416, whole genome shotgun sequence.